rnacentral:misc_RNA from 1 species
AUUCAUAACCCUUUGUUGUCCGACUCUGUUGCCUCCGGGGCGACCCUGCCUUCGGGCGGGGGCUCCGGGUGGACACUUCAAACUCUUGCGUAACUUUGCAGUCUGAGUAAACUUAAUUAAUAAAUUAAAACUUUUAACAACGGAUCUCUUGGUUCUGGCAUCGAUGAAGAACGCAGCGAAAUGCGAUAAGUAAUGUGAAUUGCAGAAUUCAGUGAAUCAUCGAAUCUUUGAACGCACAUUGCGCCCCCUGGUAUUCCGGGGGGCAUGCCUGUUCGAGCGUCAUUUCACCACUCAAGCCUCGCUUGGUAUUGGGCAACGCGGUCCGCCGCGUGCCUCAAAUCGUCCGGCUGGGUCUUCUGUCCCCUAAGCGUUGUGGAAACUAUUCGCUAAAGGGUGUUCGGGAGGCUACGCCGUAAAACAACCCCAUUUCUAAGGUUGACCUCGGAUCAGGUAGGGAUACCCGCUGAACUUAAGCAUAUCAAUAAGCGGAGGAAAAGAAACCAACAGGGAUUGCUCUAGUAACGGCGAGUGAAGCAGCAAUAGCUCAAAUUUGAAAUCUGGCGUCUUCGACGUCCGAGUUGUAAUUUGUAGAGGAUGCUUCUGAGUGGCCACCGACCUAAGUUCCUUGGAACAGGACGUCAUAGAGGGUGAGAAUCCCGUAUGCGGUCGGAAAGGCGCUCUAUACGUAGCUCCUUCGACGAGUCGAGUUGUUUGG